AGCAGCAGCCACGGGAAUGCGUAGGUGGCAAGCGUUGUCCGGAAUUAUUGGGCGUAAAGGGCUCGCAGGCGGUUUCUUAAGUCUGAUGUGAAAGCCCCCGGCUCAACCGGGGAGGGUCAUUGGAAACUGGGAAACUUGAGUGCAGAAGAGGAGAGUGGAAUUCCACGUGUAGCGGUGAAAUGCGUAGAGAUGUGGAGGAACACCAGUGGCGAAGGCGACUCUCUGGUCUGUAACUGACGCUGAGGAGCGAAAGCGUGGGGAGCGAACAGGAUUAGAUACCCCUGUAGUCCCUGUCUCUUAUAC
rnacentral:rRNA from 1 species